GUAGGUGGCAAGCGUUGUCCGGAAAUUAUUGGGGCGUAAAAGCGCGCGCAGGCGGGGUCCUUUAAAGUCUGAUGUGAAAGCCCACGGGCUCAACCGUGGAGGGCAUUGGAAACUGGGGGACUUGAGUACAGAAGAGGAAAGCGGAAUUCCAAGUGUAGCGGUGAAAUGCGUAGAGAUUUGGAGGAACACCAGUGGCGAAGGCGGCUUUCUGGUCUGUAACUGACGCUGAGGCGCGAAAGCGUGGGGAGCAAACAGGAUUAGAUACCCUGGUAGUCCACGCCGUAAACGAUGAGUGCUAAGUGUUAGGGGGUUUCCGGCCCCUUACGUGCUGCAGCUAACGCAUUAAGCACUCCGCCUGGGGAGUACGGCCGCAAAGGCUG
rnacentral:rRNA from 1 species